UGGCUCAAGAAUAAAAGUUGAUUGUACAAAUCAAUACAUUAGAUUACACAAAACUUGUCUAUUGUUACAACAAAACAACCCACCCUGACGUUUAUUGUCCAAAGAGAAAAUAACUGGGACACACGACUAAUGAUGAGACCAAAAUUGAAUAAUAGUUUGUUCACUAUGAAAAAAGAAGAAAAAAAUGUCAAAUAUCUUCCUAUAAUAUAUAUAUUCUUUGACUAUAUACAAUUUUUUUUUUUGUUAUUAUAUGACUAUCUCAUUGCCUCCCCCUGACUCAAAUAAUUCACAAAAUGCUUAAUAUUUAUUUAUUUGAUACCAAUGUUCAAUUAAUUUUUCUUCAUUAGAAAAAUUGACCAUCUUCAUCAGGAAAAAUCUCAGGAUGUACUGCAGCAGUAUUAGUGAAAUUUAGUGCUCUUCUUAAUUUGCGAUGAUCAAAUACUUCAACUUCAACCAAGAAAAUUGAACUAACUGGUCUAUGAUCUGAGAGCUUAAUUUCUGCACGUUCAUAAUUUAGUUGCUUUAUUCCUUUUCCUAGCCACAAUAUUCGAUCACACCUGCAUGUAUAUAUAAUUUUAUUUUUCAUUAUUUAAUAUUACAUAAUACAUAAAACCAACAAAUUAAUAUUCAUAAUCUAGUAAAUAUUGCAAUUAAUUACCAUGCAGGAGCUCUUUUUUUCUCCCCUUCUUUUGGUAUCUCACCAACAUAUCUAUCUGAAUUAAUUUCAUAUUUGUAAGUUGGUGCAAAGUUUAUCAACCCUUCUUUCCAUCCAUCAAAUACAUGCCCAACACGCAAUUCAUUGCUUAGCUGCAUAAAGUAAUGACUAAUUAGAAAUAAUAUAAUCUAGGACAACACAUAACAUAAAUAAAUAAAUAAAUACACUUGUAUGUUACAAUUAUAAUUUGUUGAUACUAUAUGCACAUAGAUAACAAAUUAUAGAUGUGUUAAAAUAGUUACUUGUAUUGUCAAAAAAAUAAUAGCAAUAGUUCCUUAUGAGGAAUAAAAUAUCAAAUUUACAUAGUAAGAAAGGAUAAGUAUAUGAAAAAUAAAAUAUCAACAACCUUUUAUCUUAUUAUAGGUAGGGUUUUUUUUUAUGUGGUGUACUUCUUUGACAUGCUUUACAUGCCUAUUCAAGUAAAAUAAAAGGUUUGGGUAGAGAGUUAGUAGAUAAGAUAAAGUUUUUUAUGAGACCAACUUUAAAUAUUAAGUGAUAUCUUACUUUAGACAAAAUAAACUAAGUGAAAGAUUAAAGUUAUGCAUAUUUUGUAAGGUUUGUGGAUUCAGAAGUCUUACCUGAUCAUAAUUCAGUAGUUCAUUCCACUUUUUUUGAGCCACCAAUUUCCGAACCUCCGAAUCUAACAUACUGAUUCGAUAAUUCAAAUCUCCGAACCAGAAAAUCUGACUGUUACCAAUAAACAAAACUUCAAUUAACACAAGUUGUUAGGAAAAUAACUUAUAGCAUAAAAUUUGCAAGGGAAAAUUUUGACGAUACAAUAAAGCUUACUCGUGCGAUGGGAUUGUUAGCGCUUGAUCUGUAGCAAAGACAGACGAGAAGCAAGUGCGUCGGAGAAUUUCAUUAACAUCUGAGUUUCGUCUUUGUUCAGCUCCAUCCUUCGUACCAGAGGUCAGAUGCGAACAAACAAAGCACAUACGCGACUGAAAGAGUGACAUGCUGAUUGAAACAGAACCCUGCAUCAUAUGUCAAAAUGAGCAAAUUCUUUCACUAAGUGCACAAGUUUGGAUCAUCAUUAGCCUUGCUGACAAAGGUAGAUCGUUGAAUUCAUACAAUGGAUUCUACCGAUCGACCUUUAUUCAGCAUGGUGAUUUUCACUAUAACUAAUAAUAGUUAAUGAUCAUAAAAUGCAUGUUGCACAUACUAUACUAGUAAUGAAUGCUGAAAUGAUUAUAAAAGCUAGUUAACAAUUAAUGUGGAAUUAUGAAGCCUGAUUCAAUGUGAAACAUCUCAUACCUUGUUUCCCAUAUAGCCCAUAAGACCAACUCCAACAGGUGAAACUUUCAAAUUAUUAAUGUGUCUUCUCAGCCUCCUCUGCACCCAAACAGAUACAUAGAUUCCCACCAUUUGCUUGCUGAUGAUCCGAACAUAUCUCGCCUGUGAUUUAGUCGUGCCUAAUUCAUCAUCGUCUUGGUUCUCAGGCAAUUCAAUAAAAGCAUCGUCACCAUCAUCAGAUAACAUCUCAGAUACAUCAUCUAAGGAAUCAACUACUUUAGGUAUAACUUGUUGCUCUUUCAAUAACGAGCCCAAAUUUCCGGAACUAUGGUGCGUACGUUUCAAUCCACCUCCACCACCGCCGCCAUAUAAGAAAGCAUUCUCAUUCAAGUCAAAGCCAAUUCUUGCUGAACUACUUAGUACUCUCCGCAACUUAGGAUUCGAAUCAACAAUUUGUGAGAUUGCGUCUAACGGACGUUCGGGCCAAUCAAGAUCAAUACCAUAAACUUUCCUCACGUGUAAAUCAUUCCCUAUACUAAUUAUGUUACUUUCUUCAAGCUGUUGCAGAUCAUAUUUGUCAACAUUUUCCAUGAGCUCAUCAUUCAGCAUAUCAAUUGGAUUAGCAGCAUCUAUAUUAUCAGCUAGAACAUCAGCAGCAGAAGAAGUUCUCAACACCGGCGAAGGUGGCGCGCUGUGGCUUUUGUGUUUGCUAUCAGGCUCAGAAGAUUUGUUUAAAGAUCUUCUAAUGAUUGCUUCCCAUUUCUGGAUAGGUGUAUUAUCCUCUGCUCCUAGUACAUUUCCAGCAUUCAGUGGAACUACUUCUUGGAAACUGUGAGGCACAAGACACCACAAUUGAAAGUUAUUUACAGAAAAUUUGGUAAACAUAACAUAAAGACUGACUAGAAAUACUAAUUCUUAAAACAACUUUGGUUCAAACGUAAAAAGAUACGAAAAACAUAAACAAAGAGCAAAUGAUAUUUGAUCACAGAGUUCGAUCAAUUAUGCCUACGUAUCCGACUACAAAAAUGGCUUCAGCACUAUUUUAUUAUUCAAGUUUAGGAUCAUAGAGUACAUACUACAGUCCAGUUUACAAAAUUACCCUUGAACCGUUCCACCCAUUUAUCAGUAAACUAUGAGUUAUACCGAUUAAAAGGAUUUACAAUUUCAUGAACUACUCACCCAAAAAUGUAUAUAUCACUUGGUUCUUCGGCAUAAAUCCAGUCAUCAAUAUCAAGAUCCUCAGAUGGAUGUCUUCCAGCAACAUUCCAAGAUCCAAUUGCUACCCUGAAGAAUAACCAAAGUUAUGAUUUAUCAUUAAAUUAGUAACACUAUAGCAUACUAUACAUAACUAGGUUGCAAACCAUACCUCACUUCCUUAGUAUUUAUAUACUGAGCACGCAAAGUUUCUGAUUUUCCUCUUCUGUGUCUUGUUUUGCAUCCCUUUUUAAAAGAUGUAUCUGAAUAAUUACAAACAUGAAAUCAUCAAAUCACAGUUCUAAAAAUCGAAUUUAUCGAAAUCUUGUAUAAAAUGAAUUGAAAUGGAAUGAAUCCUUGCCUGAUAUUUGACUUGAGAAUAUAGAUUGAGUCCCUUGUGUUCUAAAUGGACUAUCAUCACUAAUUUGCAUUCUUGGUUGUUUAGGAGAACAAACUGUAUCAAAAUUCUAAGAAUCAAAAACUGAAAAAAGAAAAAAAGAAGUAUACAAAUACAAUAGAAUCAUUUGCAUAGUAAUAUACCAUCAUCUUCACUCUCAGUUUCAGUAUCAACUUCAUCUUCACUAAAAUCAUUCACCUUAGGCUUAAUAUUAAGCCAUUUUUUCAUCACAAUAGAAGGCCAAAAAGCCUACAAUAAAAUCAAAUCAGCAACUUAUGAUCAUUGAAAACAAUCAACUUUCUUUAAAGAAUGUUAUAAAGUUUACCUCUGAUCUUUUUCCUCUUCUUCCCUUCAUUGUUUCACAAGUCAAAAGACUAAUAACAGAACCUUA
rnacentral:lncRNA from 1 species